rnacentral:lncRNA from 1 species
GAUGCGAGAUGCCUACUACAGCUCUCAGACAUAUCCAAAGCCUGGGUAGCAGUCUCAAGCUUCCCAUGUUUAUGAUUGAACAUAGCCUGGAACUUUGACACUGGAGACCUGGGAUGCUGAAAGCUGAGCACAGAAGGUGGUGAUGAUGGAUGAUUGAACAUAGCCUGGAACUUUGACGCUGGAGAUCUGGGAUGCUGAAAGCUGAGCACAGAAGGUGGUGAUGGUGCAGGGACAAGAGUACUUGGAUUGCAAUGACUCUGAUUUGGAGCAGACCACCUGUUUACGUGGCUUGGAACCUGAAUACCGAUGAUAAUACCAGUUCUACUUUUUUCCUGCAUUAGGCUACCAGCAUGACCUC